UUCUCAUUACGAUAAUAGACCUGCUGUAAACUGAUACAGCUACAUUAACAGAGACUUCAGCUGUGCUCUUUCCCGUAGCUGCGCGUUGUAAUUUCCGUCUGUUCUCUAGGAGCCAGACGUCUAAAAUAAACCCUUUACGUUCACGCUGCCGAGCGAGGCAAGAGUUAUUGUUUCAUCUGCCAACCAGCGUUGCUUGUUUUCCAUCAUAACAGCCUCCGCAUCUCUUCCUCCUGUCUUGCAGCAGGAGACCUGUGUAAUUACAUCCAUAGCGUUCUCCUCUCCCCUACGGUUGAUAUCACCGCUGACAUCCACUUGCACAGCCCCCUCCUCUGCCUCUCUCUCUCUCUCUCUCUCUCUCUCUCUCUGUCCGUCUCGCUGCAUCCUUGUUUAUUGGAAAGCUCUCGCACUGCCAGUGUGUGGUCCUGCUUCGUCAUGUGUGCAGUGCAUCGGAGCAGAUGGGGAAGCAAAGGAAGCGGCAGAGAUGAGAGAGGAGGAAGAGGACGACAGGCAGCUGAAGACGGAACUGCUCUCCACGUGAAAAGGCGCAGACGAUGCUGACUGCAUUUCAUGAAAUGUACCGGAGUGCUUUCUGUGCCGCCUGUUGUUCAACCCUCAGAGGGCAGCAGGGCUAAUUUCUCCUGACUCGUUAAGCGUCGCCUUAACGGAGCUGCAGAGAGAACCGGAGCCAGCGUUCCCAUGCAGGCAAACUCUCUCAAAUGUUGCUUCGUCUAAAUGUUGUGCCAAGUCUGCGGAGCUAAUCACGAGACUGUUUCUGUUUUUUUUUAAUAACUCACUUUAUAUAUGCAUAAAGACUAAACAUCAGGUUUUUUAUAUGCAAGAUAAAUGCGUAUAAAGUAAUAUUAACGAUGACAAACGGGUAUGUUACAUGCCUUAUUCAUGUUGGACCUAAUAUACCAUCGUGCAGAUUAAACUUUUUCUAACCGAAUCUCAGUAGUUGAGCGCUCGUCAUGGACGCCGUGGAAAACUCCACAGGCUUAUCCACAGCCGCCUUGGUGGCCAUCGCCUGCAACACGCUGGUUGCCGUCCUCCUCCUCCUGCUCUGCCUGAUUGUUUACCGAGCCUGCGGCGUCCCGUCCAGCCCAGAGAGGCUGCCCGUGUUGGCGCCGAGCGAAGCAGAAGCCCAGCAGCUGAACAAGCACAAGUACCUGUUGACCUCUUGACUGCAGAACGAUGAGUCAAACGUAACCACAAGUGAGAGACUCGACGCCUGCCUCCGCGGCAGCGCCGCUUGAAGACGUGCGAGGACUGAGUGCGAAAGGGGAAAGGCAGACUGAUGCGUUCACCUCAACAAAAUCUGGUCCUUGGUGUGACAGAGCUCAUCACAGAACGACGAUGUCAUCGUACAAAACAUAAGCACUGCCACAAACCGCAAGGGGUUUGUGGGGAAAGGUUAGUUUCCAAAACAUGUUCUCUAAUCUCAAGGUGUGGCUGGGGAGAAACAGAAAGAUGGUCUCUGGCGAACAACGAGACAUAAUGAGAGAUCAUGUGCAACGUGUGCAUGUCGUUGUCGUCCAAACAAUCCCGGGUGAAAUUUGAUCAGAACAGGAGAGAUUUACUUCAACGCGUCCUUCGCUCUGACAUCUGCUUCUGGCUUCAACGAUGGGCCACUCAUCCUGGACUGAGUCACAGAGGAAAUGAUUGGAAGAGGCCAGAGGGACUUGGUCGAUGUUUCCUGCACUGCGGCGAAUAUAUUCACCCCGCAACACGUGCACACUUCAUCCUGUUUCCUGUAACUUUCCAUGUAACAAAGCAUGUAGCACCGUUUAAAGACUAUAAUAUGAACCAAUCCUCUGGAGACUUUCCUGAUAUCAAGGCUGCACCUAUUAAAAAUAAACUGA